GCUCAGUGGUUAAGAGCACUGACUGCUCUUUCAGAGGUCCUGAGUUCAAUUCCCAGCAACCACAUGGUGGCUCACAGCCAUCUAUAAUGAGACCCGGCGCCCCUUUCUGACCCGCGGCACACAUGGAAGGAAUGCUGUACACAUAAUAAAUACAUAAAUCUUUUUUUUUUAAAAGACUAAUUAGAAAUCGCACUACAGGUAAGAACAGUGUAAGUUCCGGUCUCUGACCUCCAUCUUUGGAGGCCCUGUCCCUAUGCCUGCCAAACCUUGGCUCCUCCCCUGAGGAGGUGCCAGGUAGCCCGCCAAAACCUUGACUACUUCCCCAGUCUAUUUAAACUGCUCCUGGGAAAGUCCUGGUAUUCCCACCUUCCCAGUUCCCAUUGGGCCCCUACUCCCUCAAGCCCACACUACCCAACCCCCUCCUAUAGAGCAACAUUCUCCACAUUCCUCUCCUUACCUGUCUACACCCUACCUUGCCAAUCCAGAAGUUCAAGGUCAACUUCUACCUUACCCACCUCCCUCCCCUAAGCCGCUCCUACCUCAUCUCCCCCCCUUGGACCCCUUCCCCCUCUGUGCACUGGGCUAGCCCCUUCCAAUCCUCCCCAGUCUCCUCCCAUACCAGAUCCCACCAUAGCUCUGCCCUUCUCUGGCCUCUCCAGGAAGUGGUGGGAGUUGAUGGCAUUAUGAAAGUUCAUGUUCCCUUUUCUCUCCCAGAUCUCUCCCAGAUAGAAAAGCAGCUAGGUUCUUUUUCUACUAAUCCUUCUGCUUAUAGUAAAGAGUUCCAUUACAGAGACAAAGCAUGGUUUGUUGCCUCUUUCAGGGUAUGGAAAUGGUCUCAAAAAAAGUAGUUAAUUUUAAAAAUUCAUUCAAACUCAGGCCUUAGCAGCUGCCCUAAGGCCACAGGAAGGGGGACAAGGGAAGCCGACCACAAGGCUCUACCCUGAUGGGGCCCAGCCUAAGUCAACCUCACAAACAAGCUGUUAAUCACAUUGCCCCCAUGUGGGCUUGUCCUCUAUGCCACACUAUGAAGUUCUGGCCCCACCACCAUCAUCGACAAGUGAAACUGUGCAAGCUUUGAACUUCUCAGCCUUGCAGAGGAUUGACGCUGCCCAGACUUGGUAUAUCCCAUCACCCUCUCCGAGCCUAAGGUAAAGCUGCAGGUAGCAGGUAAGUCCAUAACUUUUCUUUUGGACACAGGAGCUACCUAUUCUGUUCUAACAUCUCACUUGGGCUUCAUGUUCUCGUCACCAAUUUUGGUUAUGGGAGUAGACGGGACCCGUUCCCCUCUUAAAACUUUGCCACUGUCCUACAUUCUUGCAGGACAAUUUUUAUUUCAUUCUUUCUUAGUAAUACCUGCUUGCACAUUUACUGGGUUGAGAUAUCCUUAGCUAACUCCUAGGUCUUUUGAACUUCAAUGGACAGGACCUCACAUGAAACCUGCCUUCUCAUCUCCCCCAAGGAACAGAUGCCUAGCGUCUCCAGGAUGACAGUACACAGGAUGCCUUUCCAGCCACACCUCUUGCUGAGCAUGGACCCACCAGAUUUAUUCAUCUGGACAGGAACAAUAUUACCAAACCUCUGAGACUGUUUGGUGGGCAUGAACCAAUGGUUGACUAAACGUGCCUCUUCUGAUACUUUCCAAACUAAGUAGACAGAGGCUUGUCUAAGUGAGUCAAGGAGCUAGCUGGGAAGGAAUCUGAGAGUUGUUCAUCUGGGGGAAGAGAGAAGAUCACAGAGACAAGUCCUGAGCCUGAGCCCAAGACCAUGAGACCUUCCAAAGCAGAGGUGACAUUUCUGGGACAUCAAUGGACUACUCCAUCGCCCUGUGGACCACAGCCUGGAACUUUCACACACUGUGUAAACAAGUAGCAAACACAGUAGUGACAAAAGGAAUUUGAAAUAUUUGCUCAGGAUCAUGAACUGUUUUACUGAGAACCGGGAUCCAAGUGUUGCAUUUACAGUAGAGACUUGCUUUCUCUGCAGAGCUGGCUGAAGUUGUGUAUUUGCA